rnacentral:rRNA from 1 species
GAUGAACGCUAGCGGCAGGCCUAACACAUGCAAGUCGAGGGGUAGAAGGAGCUUGCUCCUUUGAGACCGGCGCACGGGUGCGUAACGCGUAUGCAAUCUACCUUGUACAGGGGAAUAGCCCAGAGAAAUUUGGAUUAAUGCCCCAUAGUAUAUAACCUUCGCAUGUUGGUUAUAUUAAAGUUCCAACGGUACAAGAUGAGCAUGCGUCCCAUUAGUUAGUUGGUAAGGUAACGGCUUACCAAGACGAUGAUGGGUAGGGGUCCUGAGAGGGAGAUCCCCCACACUGGUACUGAGACACGGACCAGACUCCUACGGGAGGCAGCAGUGAGGAAGAUUGGUCAAUGGUCGCAAGACUGAACCAGCCAUGCCGCGUGCAGGAAGACGGUCCUAUGGAUUGUAAACUGCUUUUAUACAGGAAGAAACCCUCCCACGUGUGGGAGCUUGACGGUACUGUAGGAAUAAGGAUCGGCUAACUCCGUG